rnacentral:rRNA from 1 species
UACGAAGGGGGCUAGCGUUGCUCGGAAUCACUGGGCGUAAAGGGUGCGUAGGCGGGUUUUUAAGUCAGGGGUGAAAUCCUGGAGCUCAACUCCAGAACUGCCUUUGAUACUGAAGAUCUUGAGUCCGGGAGAGGUGAGUGGAACUGCGAGUGUAGAGGUGAAAUUCGUAGAUAUUCGCAAGAACACCAGUGGCGAAGGCGACUUCCUGGCCUGUUCUUGACGCUGAGGCGCGAAAGCUAGGGGAGCAAACGGG